rnacentral:rRNA from 1 species
AAGCUUGCUUUUCUAAAGUUAGCGGCGGACGGGUGAGUAACACGUGGGCAACCUGCCCUAUAGUUGGGGAUAACUCCGGGAAACCGGGGCUAAUACCGAAUAAUACAUUCCUUCUCCUGUUGGAAUGUUGAAAGAUGGUUUACGCUAUCGCUAUAGGAUGGGCCCGCGGCGCAUUAGCUAGUUGGUGAGGUAACGGCUCACCAAGGCGACGAUGCGUAGCCGACCUGAGAGGGUGAUCGGCCACACUGGGACUGAGACACGGCCCAGACUCCUACGGGAGGCAGCAGUAGGGAAUCUUCCACAAUGGGCGAAAGCCUGAUGGAGCAACGCCGCGUGAGUGAAGAAGGUUUUCGGAUCGUAAAACUCUGUUGUAAGGGAAGAACAAGUACAGUAGUAACUGGCUGUACCUUGACGGUACCUUAUUAGAAAGCCACGGCUAACUACGUGCCAGCAGCCGCGGUAAUACGUAGGUGGCAAGCGUUGUCCGGAAUUAUUGGGCGUAAAGCGCGCGCAGGUGGUCCUUUAAGUCUGAUGUGAAAGCCCACGGCUCAACCGUGGAGGGUCAUUGGAAACUGGGGGACUUGAGUGCAGAAGAGGAAAGUGGAAUUCCAAGUGUAGCGGUGAAAUGCGUAGAGAUUUGGAGGAACACC